rnacentral:rRNA from 1 species
GGGGUUGUAGGAUCUAACAUAAAGGAUAGGAGGAACCUAGUGGAAUGCUUUGGAAAGGGCAACCAUAGGACGUGACAGUCGUGUACACGAAAGGGAGAGACCUAUCUGGGUUAGACACCUGAGUAGCUCGGGGCACGUGAAACCUUGAGUGAAUUUGCGGGGACCAUCCCGUAAGGCUAAAUAUAACCAAGAGACCGAUAGUGAACAAGUACCGUGAGGGAAAGGUGAAAAGGACCUCGAAUAGAGGAGUGCAAUAGAUCCUGAACCCGUUUGCUGACAAGCUGUAGGAGCCCCUUUGGGGUGACUGCGUGCCUUUUGCAUAAUGAACCUACGAGUUGUUCUUUCUGGCGAGGCUAACCAUCAGGAGAUGGGUACCCGCAGCGAAAGCGAGUCUUAAAUAGGCGUAUAGUCAGAAGGAGCAGACGCGAAACCAAGUGAUCUACCCUUGGCCAGGUUGAAGGUUAGGUAACACUAACUGGAGGACCCAAUCGGGAAGCGUUGAAAAGCUUUCGAAUGAGCUGAGGGUAGGGGUGAAAGGCUAAUCAAACUUGGAGAUAGCUCGUACUCCCCGAAAUGCAUUUAGGUGCAGCCUGUACAGUUUCUUGCAAGAGGUAGAGCUACUGAUUGGAUGCGAGGCUUUCACCGGCUAUCAAGUCCGGCCAAACUCCGAAUGCUUGCAAGUGAAUGUAUGGAGUGAGGGCAUGGGUGCUAAGGUCCAUGUCCGAGAGGAGAACAAUCCGGACCAUCAGCUAAGGUCCCUAAAUCACUGCUAAGUUGGACAAACGAAGUCAAGAUGCAUAGACAGCUAGGAUGUUGGCUUGGAAGCAGCCAUUCAUUUAAAGAGUGCGUAACAGCUCACUAGUCGAGGAUUUUGGCAUGGAUAAUAAGCGGGCAUAAGCAGUGUACCGAAGCUAUGGGAUGUGUAAACAUCGGUAGGGGAGCAUUCUUUAUGGGAUGAAGGUAUUAAGACAAUUAGUGCUGGACCGUAAAGAAAAGCAAAUGUAGGUAUAAGUAACGAUAAAGGGGGUCAUAAUCCCCCUCGCCGAAAGACUAAGGUUUCCUGAUCAACGCUCGACGGAUCAGGGUUAGUCGGGUCCUAAGGAGAAGCCUAAAGGCGUAUUCGAUGGACAACGGGUUAAUAUUCCCGUACUAGUUGUAGGAGUGAAGGAGAGACGGAGUGAAUAGAGUCUUGCCAGCUGACGGAAUAGCUGGUUGAAGCAGGUAGGCGAUGAGAGGUGUAGGCAAAUCCGCACUUUGAGCUGAAAUGCGACAGUACGCAGCGUGCUUGCACAAUGCGAUAAUAGGCUUGAAGGGCUUCCAAGAAAAUCUUCUAACGUUAAUUCUGCAGCUACCCGUACCGCAAACCGACACAGGUAGUUGGGUUGAGUAUACUAAGGCGCUCGAGAGAUUCGCGGUUAAGGAACUAGGCAAAAUAGUUCUGUAACUUUGGGAAAAAGAACGCCUCCUUCCGGGGAGGCCGCAGAGAAUAGGCCCUGGCGACUGUUUAGCAAAAACAUAUGGCUAUGCCAAGUGGAAACAUCACGUAUAUAGCCUGACACCUGCCCGGUGCUGGAAGGUUAAGAGGAGAUGUCAUUCGCAAGAAGAAGCAUUGAAUUGAAGCCCCAGUAAACGGCGGCCGUAACUAUAACGGUCCUAAGGUAGCGAAAUUCCUUGUCGGGUAAGUUCCGACCUGCACGAAUGGUGUAACGAUCUGGGCACUGUCUCAACCGCGAGCUCGGUGAAAUUGUAGUAUCGGUGAAGAUGCCGAUUACCCGCAACGGGACGAAAAGACCCCGUGAACCUUUACUAUAGCUUUACAUUGUGAUCGGGUAUUAGAUGUGUAGGAUAGGCCGGAGGCUAUGAGAUGCUGUCGCUAGAUGGUGUGGAGCCGCUGUUGAAAUACGGCCCUUUUAUUAUUUGGUCACUAACUUGCAAUGAGCAAGGACACUGUAUGGUGGGUAGUUUGACUGGGGUGGUCGCCUCCAAAAGAGUAACGGAGGCUUCUAAAGGUACCCUCAGACCGAUUGGUAACCGGUCGAAGAGUGUAAUGGCAUAAGGGUGCUUGACUGUGAGACCAACAAGUCGCACAGGUAGGAAACUAGAGCAUAGUGAUCCGGUGGUUCCGCAUGGAAGGGCCAUCGCUCAAAGGAUAAAAGGUACUCCGGGGAUAACAGGCUGAUCGCUCCCAAGAGCUCAAAUCGACGGAGCGGUUUGGCACCUCGAUGUCGGCUCGUCACAUCCUGGGGCUGGAGAAGGUUCCAAGGGUUGGGCUGUUCGCCCAUUAAAGUGGCACGCGAGCUGGGUUCAGAACGUCGUGAGACAGUUCGGUCUCUAUCUGUUGUGGGCGUGAGAUAUUUGAGGGGUUC